GUAGUGGUGGCCAUGCAGGGUCAGGGUGACCAGACAUCCUCUUUUUCUAGGACACAUUCUACAUUUCAGCCUUCUGUCCAGGAGGAAUUCCAAAAUAACCUCCAUUUUGAGCAGGAGUAAGAAGCAUGAAUUUAUAUUUUGAUCAGUGUUUUUAGCUUUUAUUUGGUAAUGUCCUACAUUUUUCUGGAAUAUCCUAAUUUUUGGUGCCCUGUCCUCCUUUGGUGUUAGGAUAUUGGUCACCCUAUACUGGGUGGCACACAUUUGAAUCAACCACUCAGUGUCACAAUGGAGGGCUCUGAUGCAUUGUGAAUUCUCAUAAAAGAUCUGGAGCAAAAGGUUAAAGUCCAAAGGUGAUGAAUAACUGUCCUUCUCUGUGGCCCUUAAAGCAGAGGUCUUGCCUGCCUAGAACAGUUUCACAAUCCUUUUAAGACCUGUGUUGCUCUGAAGACUUUUGAGCCCAGCUGAUAUACUCUAUAUUGGAUUGUCGGUUGCAUAGAAGAAGUAUACAAAGUCCCCAUAUGGCUUGCCAGAUGCUGAUUUAGGCUGUUAUUGUGGAUGUUUAAAAAGGGAUUAGUUAGGAAGCCCACCAGCACUGAAGAAAGAAAGACCAAGAGAGAGAAUCACAAGAAA